UGAGAAAAUGGGUGUUGGUGGUGGGUGUGGGGACACUGGAGACUGGAAAGGUCACUGGAACCAUGUAAAGAAGUUCCUCGACCGGUCUGGACCCUUCACACACCCCGAUUUCGAACCAAGCACUGAAUCACUCCAGUUCUUGUUAGAUAUAUGUAAAGUUCUAGUCAUUGGAGCUGGUGGCUUAGAAUGUGAGCUUCUGAAAAAAAUCUGGCAUUGUUUGUUUUUAGACAGAUUCAUGUUAUAGACAUGGACACUAUAGAUGAUUCCAAUGUAAAUAGGCAGUUUUCAUUUAGGCCUAAAGAUGUUGGAAGACCCAAGGCUGAAGUUGCUGCAGAAUUCCUAAAUGAGAGUUCCUAACUGCAGCGUGGUCCCACAUUUCAACAAGAUUCAAGAUUUUAAUGACACUUUCUACCGACAAUUUUAUAUUAUAGUAUGUGGAUUGGACUCUAUCAUAGCCAGAAGUUGGAUCAAUGGAAUGCUGAUAUCUCUUCUAAAUUAUGAAGAUGGUGUGUUGGAUCCAAACUCCAUUAUACCUUCAAAGAUAGGGGGACAGAAGGCUUUAAAGGAAAUGCCCGAGUGAUUUUUGCCCCAAUGACUGCUUGUAUUGAGUGCACUCUGCAACUUUACCCACCACAGGUCAAUUUUCCUAUGUGUACCAUUGCAUCUAUGCCCAGGCUCCCAGAACACUAUAUCAAGUAUGUAAGGAUAUUGCAGUGGCAUAAAGACCAGCCUUUUGGAGAUGGGGUUCCAUUAAACAGAGAUGACCCUGAACAUAUUCAGUGGAUUUUCCAAAACUCCAUAGAGAGAGCAUCACAAUAUAAUAUUAGAGGUGUUACCUACAGACUCACCCAAGGGGUAGUAAAAUGAAUCAUUCCUGCAGUAGCUUCUACAGAUGCAGUCAUUGCAGCUGUGUGUGCCACUGAGGUUUUGAAGAUAGCUAGCUACAAGUGCGUACAUUCCCCUUAAUAAUUACUUGGUAUUCAAUGAUGUAGAUGGACUGUACACACUUACACAUUUGAAGCAGAGAGAUAGGGUAACUGUCCUGCAUGUAGCCAACUUCCUCAAAACAUUCAGUUUUCCCCGUCAGCUAAACUACAAGAUGUUUUAGACUAUCUAACCAAUAGUGCUUCUCUGCAAAUGAAGUCUCCAGCUAUCACAUUAGAGGGGGGGAAAUAGGACACUUUACUUACAGCCAGUAACAUCUAUUGAAGAAUGAACAAGGCCCAAUCUUUCCAAAACAUUAAAAGAACUGGGACUAGUUGAUGGACAAGAACUGGGUGUUGCUGAUAUCACUACACCACAGACUGUACUAUUCAAUCUUCAUUUU
rnacentral:lncRNA from 1 species